UACGAAGGGGGGCUAGCGUUGCUCGGAAUCACUGGGCGUAAAGGGUGCGUAGGCGGGUCUUUAAGUCAGGGGUGAAAUCCUGGAGCUCAACUCCAGAACUGCCUUUGAUACUGAGGAUCUUGAGUUCGGGAGAGGUGAGUGGAACUGCGAGUGUAGAGGUGAAAAUUCGUAGAUAUUCGCAAGAACACCAGUGGCGAAGGCGGCUCACUGGCCCGAUACUGACGCUGAGGCACGAAAGCGUGGGGAGCAACAGGG
rnacentral:rRNA from 1 species